rnacentral:rRNA from 1 species
UCCUACGGGAGGCAGCAGUGAGGAAUAUUGGUCAAUGGGCGCAAGCCUGAACCAGCCAUCCCGCGUGCAGGAAGACGGCCCUAUGGGUUGUAAACUGCUUUUCCAGGGGGCGAAACUCUCGUACGAGUACGGGAUUGACGGUACCCUGGGAAUAAGCAUCGGCUAACUCCGUGCCAGCAGCCGCGGUAAUACGGAGGAUGCGAGCGUUAUCCGGAUUUAUUGGGUUUAAAGGGUGCGUAGGCGGAUUGAUAAGUCAGAGGUGAAACCCUGCAGCUUAACUGUAGACUUGCCUUUGAUACUGUCAGUCUUGAGUAUGGUCAAGGUAGGCGGAAUGUGUAAUGUAGCGGUGAAAUGCUUAGAUAUUACACAGAACACCGAUUGCGAAGGCAGCUUGCUGGACCAUUACUGACGCUGAUGCACGAAAGCGUGGGGAUCGAACAGGAUUAGAUACCCUGGUAGUCC